rnacentral:rRNA from 1 species
GAUGAACGCUAGCUACAGGCUUAACACAUGCAAGUCGAGGGGCAGCAUCAUCAAAGCUUGCUUUGAUGGAUGGCGACCGGCGCACGGGUGAGUAACACGUAUCCAACCUGCCGACAACACUGGGAUAGCCUUUCGAAAGAAAGAUUAAUACCGGAUGGCAUAGUUUUCCCGCAUGGGAUAAUUAUUAAAGAAUUUCGGUUGUCGAUGGGGAUGCGUUCCAUUAGGCAGUUGGCGGGGUAACGGCCCACCAAACCAACGAUGGAUAGGGGUUCUGAAAGGAAGGUCCCCCACAUUGGAACUGAGACACGGUCCAAACUCCUACGGGAGGCAGCAGUGAGGAAUAUUGGUCAAUGGACGAGAGUCUGAACCAGCCAAGUAGCGUGAAGGAUGACUGCCCUAUGGGUUGUAAACUUCUUUUAUACGGGAAUAAAGUGAGGCAUGUGUGCCUUUUUGCAUGUACCUUAUGAAUAAGGACCGGCUAAUUCCGUGCCAGCAGCCGCGGU